UCCAUCCUCAAGACAUUGUGGCAUCACGCUGAUGCUAUAAUGUGCUGCUCUCUAAAGGUAUGUGUGAAACAUGAUUUUCUACUGGAAAUGUAGCUUGACAUCCAAGGGUAAGAAAACAAAACCAGAGGUCGGAUCGGCGUGUUGGACCUCCAGUUUUCGGUCUAAGCGACGGGAUCAUUUAAACAACCCCAGUUUGCAGGGACUGCCCCUUUUUACGUUUGCAAAUCAGGAUGGACUCGACAUGCUGGAAACAACCCUGGUUGCUCUGCAGCAGAUUACUCUGGAGAAAAUAUUUGAUGAUCACGGACGUAAAACUCUGUGCACCGAGUUCCCAGAGAUAAUGCAACAGGGUUUGGUUGUCUACAAGGUGGGAUAUGCAUGUCGAGCAUGGGAAGACCGGUUUCAUACGAGAGAGCGGUGGCUUGGAAGGUGUUGAAUGAAGAAGAAAAUGCUCAUUGCAUCUGCUUUAUGUUCAUCAACUGGUCUUUUGUCUGAAGUUUAAGAUCAGAAAAUAGCUGUAAGAACUGAAGUUUCUUAUAUUUUGUGAUUUUUAA